rnacentral:pre_miRNA from 1 species
CCUGUUCAGUGAUUGUGGUGUGUUGGAUUCUAUCAUAUCACAGUUAGUGAAUGGGGA